rnacentral:rRNA from 1 species
UACAGAGGAUGCAAGCGUUAUCCGGAAUGAUUGGGCGUAAAGCGUCUGUAGGUGGCUUUUUAAGUCCGCCGUCAAAUCCCAGGGCUCAACUCUGGACAGGCGGUGGAAACUACCAAGCUGGAGUACGGUAGGGGCAGAGGGAAUUUCCGGUGGAGCGGUGAAAUGCGCAGAUAUCGGGAAGAACACCCGUGGCGAAGGCGGCUCUCUGGAACGCAACUGACGCUGAGACGCGAAAGCGUGGGGAGCAAACAGG